rnacentral:rRNA from 1 species
AUGCUCGUCAACUACCAGCACCCGGAUGAUGCCAACCAGGCCUACUUCCCCAAGCUCGUCGUCGUGCUCGGCAUCACCGUCGCCGUCCUCUCCAUCCUCAUGCUCCCCGCUGACGUCGCCAACCGCCAGACCUGCAAGCACGCCGCCUACAACGGGGCCUGCGCCCUUAUCCUGCCCAUGAAGACGCUCUGGCUCGUCGUCUACAUCCUCGACGCUGUCCUCGUCUUCCUCGUCAUCCCGUUCACCAUGUUCUACUACGAGGGCGACCAGGACAAGUCAGUCUUCUUCCUCCCUUACUUCCUCUACCUGCCUCGGCUUUAUUCGUUGGCUGAUUAG